rnacentral:misc_RNA from 1 species
CAGGACUCGCAAGACUCCUACAACCCCUGUGAACCUACUAUACGAACGUUGCUUCGGCGGGUGCGCCCCGGGGAUUCGUUCCCGCGGCGCGUCAGCCCGCCGGCAGCCUACAAAUUCUGUUUCUUUGCGUUGGCAUCUCGAGAAAAACAAAUAAGUUA